AUACUGUGUCGACCGCCAAAUUCUCUUUCUUCUGGGACAUGUGCAGCUCUGAAACUCUCUUAGUAGUGUUUUUGUUGCAUGGUUCCAUGGGUAAAUGACGGCAUGAAGGAUUUCGAGCUGACACCCUAAUAAUCCCGCCAUCCGUUCCUGCUGGCUACAAAGCUGCCCUGCUAUGAGGAGCAUUUCCUGCUCCCCCAGCAGCCGUGGUCUCAGGAAGACGCUUAUGGAACAGACACAGUUUGUUCUGGUUUACCAGGGAAGCUGAGCAGGGGGCAAAUAAAUCUAAUGGUUAAAAGAGGAAGCUA